rnacentral:rRNA from 1 species
AUCCUGUCUGAAUAUGGGGGGACCAUCCUCCAAGGCUAAAUACUCCUGACUGACCGAUAGUGAACCAGUACCGUGAGGGAAAGGCGAAAAGAACCCCGGCGAGGGGAGUGAAAAAGAACCUGAAACCGUGUACGUACAAGCAGUGGGAGCACAGAGCAAUCUGUGUGACUGCGUACCUUUUGUAUAAUGGGUCAGCGACUUAUAUUCUGUAGCAAGGUUAACCGAAUAGGGGAGCCGAAGGGAAACCGAGUCUUAACUGGGCGUUAAGUUGCAGGGUAUAGACCCGAAACCCGGUGAUCUAGCCAUGGGCAGGUUGAAGGUUGGGUAACACUAACUGGAGGACCGAACCGACUAAUGUUGAAAAAUUAGCGGAUGACUUGUGGCUGGGGGUGAAAGGCCAAUCAAACCGGGAGAUAGCUGGUUCUCCCCGAAAGCUAUUUAGGUAGCGCCUCGUGAAUUCAUCUCCGGGGGUAGAGCACUGUUUCGGCAAGGGGGUCAUCCCGACUUACCAACCCGAUGCAAACUGCGAAUACCGGAGAAUGUUAUCACGGGAGACACACGGCGGGUGCUAACGUCCGUCGUGAAGAGGGAAACAACCCAGACCGCCAGCUAAGGUCCCAAAGUCAUGGUUAAGUGGGAAACGAUGUGGGAAGGCCCAGACAGCCAGGAUGUUGGCUUAGAAGCAGCCAUCAUUUAAAGAAAGCGUAAUAGCUCACUGGUCGAGUCGGCCUGCGCGGAAGAUGUAACGGGGCUAAACCAUGCACCGAAGCUGCGGCAGCGACGCUGAUGCGUUGUUGGGUAGGGGAGCGUUCUGUAAGCCUGUGAAGGUGUGCUGUGAGGCAUGCUGGAGGUAUCAGAAGUGCGAAUGCUGACAUAAGUAACGAUAAAGCGGGUGAAAAGCCCGCUCGCCGGAAGACCAAGGGUUCCUGUCCAACGUUAAUCGGGGCAGGGUGAGUCGACCCCUAAGGCGAGGCCGAAAGGCGUAGUCGAUGGGAAACAGGUUAAUAUUCCUGUACUUGGUGUUACUGCGAAGGGGGGACGGAGAAGGCUAUGUUGGCCGGGCGACGGUUGUCCCGGUUUAAGCGUGUAGGCUGGUUUUCCAGGCAAAUCCGGAAAACUAAGGCUGAGGCGUGAUGACGAGGCACUACGGUGCUGAAGCAACAAAUGCCCUGCUUCCAGGAAAAGCCUCUAAGCAUCAGGUAACAUCAAAUCGUACCCCAAACCGACACAGGUGGUCAGGUAGAGAAUACCAAGGCGCUUGAGAGAACUCGGGUGAAGGAACUAGGCAAAAUGGUGCCGUAACUUCGGGAGAAGGCACGCUGAUAUGUAGGUGAAGUCCCUCGCGGAUGGAGCUGAAAUCAGUCGAAGAUACCAGCUGGCUGCAACUGUUUAUUAAAAACACAGCACUGUGCAAACACGAAAGUGGACGUAUACGGUGUGACGCCUGCCCGGUGCCGGAAGGUUAAUUGAUGGGGUCAGCGCAAGCGAAGCUCUUGAUCGAAGCCCCGGUAAACGGCGGCCGUAACUAUAACGGUCCUAAGGUAGCGAAAUUCCUUGUCGGGUAAGUUCCGACCUGCACGAAUGGCGUAAUGAUGGCCAGGCUGUCUCCACCCGAGACUCAGUGAAAUUGAACUCGCUGUGAAGAUGCAGUGUACCCGCGGCAAGACGGAAAGACCCCGUGAACCUUUACUAUAGCUUGACACUGAACAUUGAGCCUUGAUGUGUAGGAUAGGUGGGAGGCUUUGAAGUGUGGACGCCAGUCUGCAUGGAGCCGACCUUGAAAUACCACCCUUUAAUGUUUGAUGUUCUAACGUUGACCCGUAAUCCGGGUUGCGGACAGUGUCUGGUGGGUAGUUUGACUGGGGCGGUCUCCUCCUAAAGAGUAACGGAGGAGCACGAAGGUUGGCUAAUCCUGGUCGGACAUCAGGAGGUUAGUGCAAUGGCAUAAGCCAGCUUGACUGCGAGCGUGACGGCGCGAGCAGGUGCGAAAGCAGGUCAUAGUGAUCCGGUGGUUCUGAAUGGAAGGGCCAUCGCUCAACGGAUAAAAGGUACUCCGGGGAUAACAGGCUGAUACCGCCCAAGAGUUCAUAUCGACGGCGGUGUUUGGCACCUCGAUGUCGGCUCAUCACAUCCUGGGGCUGAAGUAGGUCCCAAGGGUAUGGCUGUUCGCCAUUUAAAGUGGUACGCGAGCUGGGUUUAGAACGUCGUGAGACAGUUCGGUCCCUAUCUGCCGUGGGCGCUGGAGAACUGAGGGGGGCUGCUCCUAGUACGAGAGGACCGGAGUGGACGCAUCACUGGUGUUCGGGUUGUCAUGCCAAUGGCACUGCCCGGUAGCUAAAUGCGGAAGAGAUAAGUGCUGAAAGCAUCUAAGCACGAAACUUGCCCCGAGAUGAGUUCUCCCUGACUCCUUGAGAGUCCUGAAGGAACGUUGAAG